rnacentral:tRNA from 1 species
GCCCUGGUGGCAUGACAGUUAUGUGCUCGGCUGCUAACCAAAAUGUUGGUGGUUCGAACCCAUCCAGUGGCU